rnacentral:rRNA from 1 species
UACGUAGGGAGCAAGCGUUGUUCGGAAUCAUUGGGCGUAAAGCGCGCGUAGGCGGUUUCGUAAGUCUGCUGUGAAAGUCGGAGGCUCAACCUUCGAAAGCCGGUGGAUACUGUGAGACUUGAGUACGGAAGAGGAGAGUGGAAUUCCUGGUGUAGCGGUGAAAUGCGCAGAUAUCAGGAAGAACACCCGUGGCGAAGGCGGCUCUCUGGAACGCAACUGACGCUGAGACGCGAAAGCGUGGGGAGCAAACAGG